rnacentral:rRNA from 1 species
CUGACGAGCACGCCGCGUGAGUGAGAAGGUUUUCGGAUCGUAAAGCUCUGUUGUAAGAGAAGAACGGGUGUGAGAGUGGAAAGUUCACACUGUGACGGUAUCUUACCAGAAAGGGACGGCUAACUACGUGCCAGCAGCCGCGGUAAUACGUAGGUCCCGAGCGUUGUCCGGAUUUAUUGGGCGUAAAGCGAGCGCAGGCGGUUAGAUAAGUCUGAAGUUAAAGGCUGUGGCUUAACCAUAGUACGCUUUGGAAACUGUUUAACUUGAGUGCAGAAGGGGAGAGUGGAAUUCCAUGUGUAGCGGUGAAAUGCGUAGAUAUAUGGAGGAACACCGGUGGCGAAAGCGGCUCUCUGGUCUGUAACUGACGCUGAGGCUCGAAAGCGUGGGGAGCGAACA